rnacentral:rRNA from 1 species
AUUGAACGCUGGCGGCAUGCCUUACACAUGCAAGUCGAACGGCAGCACGGGAGCUUGCUCCUGGUGGCGAGUGGCGAACGGGUGAGUAAUACAUCGGAACGUACCCUGAAGUGGGGGAUAACGUAGCGAAAGUUACGCUAAUACCGCAUAUUCUGUGAGCAGGAAAGAGGGGGAUCGCAAGACCUCUUGCUUUAGGAGCGGCCGAUGACGGAUUAGCUAGUUGGUGAGGUAAAGGCUCACCAAGGCGACGAUCCGUAGCGGGUCUGAGAGGAUGAUCCGCCACACUGGGACUGAGACACGGCCCAGACUCCUACGGGAGGCAGCAGUGGGGAAUUUUGGACAAUGGGCGCAAGCCUGAUCCAGCCAUGCCGCGUGAGUGAAGAAGGCCUCGGUUGUAAG